UAACAAUAAAAGCAAUACCUUUGUGACACUCUAUAAUCAAGAUGCAUUUCUAUGUCGUGUUUCUAGCUAUGGUGGCCUUGUUUGGAGUAAUACCAUCGGCAAACAGUCGUAAAGAGGAAUGUUAUUGUGGAAUACUCCCGCUAACUCCCGAAGAUUUAACUAUCACGUGCUACUGUGGUUGCAGUCACUUACCGGAUGGUUGCUGUAAUUCAUGUAUGUCUAGAUUCAUGAGCUCACUCCUAGUAUAAGUGGCCAUGGCAACUUACAGAACAUUGUUCAGCUAAUCACAGAUUUCCGAAACCCACCAUCGUGAAUUCAGCACUUUGAUUACAACGAUGUCGCUGACCCCAGUCGGCCCAAGUAGACAGAACCCACAUGAAAAUGCACAGCCGUCUUCGACAAAAUAAAGAAUAUACCGACCUGUAAA